rnacentral:rRNA from 1 species
GCAAAGGUAGCAUAGUCAUUAGUUCUUUAAUUGUGAUCUGGUAUGAAUGGCUUGACGAGGCAUGGGCUGUCUUAAUUUUGAAUUGUUUAUUGAAUUUAGUCUUUGAGUUAAAAUUCUUAGAUGUUUUUAUGGGACGAGAAGACCCUAUAGAGUUUGACAUUUGUUACGGCCCCCUUCUGUUUGUGAGGGUUCAUUGGGCCGUUUAAUAUGUUUUGUUGGGGUGAUGGGAGGGAUAUAAAUGAACCCCUCCUUUUGUUAUUAUAUUUAUUUAUAUUUACUUGAUCCAUUUAUUUUGAUUGUAAGAUUAAAUUACCUUAGGGAUAACAGCGUUAUCUUCCUUGAGAGUUCUUAUCGGCAGGAGGGUUUGCG